UUGCGUCAUCACGCCCCGCCAUAGAUUGAAAAGUAUUUAAGCCGCGGGAAAAGCAGUCCUAGAUUUCAUUGAGAGAGCUGUCUUGGGGACCUCUAAAAGAGACAGCCGGGGAAUCCAAGAUCUUCAGACGUCCCGCUUCUGGAGCCACUCUCGGGUAUGAGUCGGAUGAUAAGAAAAGCUGCUUCCGAUGGAGAAGCGAAGCCCUGGACCUAGCGGCGCCGAGUGUUGUUCCAUUGAAUUCUCCCUUUACUUUCUCUAAAUGUUUCCCUCAGGAGGGGGAGCGUUCAUUUGUAACAAACCUAUAUGAGCUCUAGUGCUGCAGAUGACAGCUGUAAUAUGUACAAAUUAAGAAUGGGACGCAGUUCCCGUCUAACGGCCUCACACGUCUUUGAAAUCACCCUACUUAAAAGGUGAAGAGGGGAAAGCAAAAAAAAAAUGAAUGUGUCCCAAACCGAACUCAUUAGAUUUUCCCAUCCAUCCUCAACCUCAUGUUCAAAGGAGUAACACCCACUAGCAACUACAUGCUCAGAGGAGUAAGUCUGACAGCAGCCCUUUAAAGUCUAGAUGGGUAUUCAAUAGCUCAACUUUUCUUCUCCCUAAAUGGUGGAAAGAGGCUUAUCUAAAAUGCUGUCCUUAGCCCUCUUAUUGAUCACAUCUACUACCAUGAACAUUAUCAUCUCUAUGUGGACAAUGCUAAAAUCUUUAGCUCCAGUCUUGACCCUAUUUUGAAGGCCAGAGAUGUCUACUGGAUACUGAAAUAGGACUCAAGAUGUCUGCCUUGAUCCUAUGUAUUCACCCUGAAGUUCCUACUCCCCAAGAUGGCUGCCCUACCCAGUCAGUUCCAACUACCAGUCAGUGACAGUUGGUGAUGGAUUCUUUGACCACAGGGGUGCCACUGUAAUAUAACUGUAAUAUGAGGGCAGGGAGAGAAUGGAGUUUUCCUUCCCUGCUGGGUCAGGAUCUGAGAGAGGUAAAGAUGGAGCAGAGUCAAAUAGAGAGAGGAUGGAUUGUCUUCCCUCUGAACUCUCCCUGACAAAUCCCACUCUGGUUGCUUUUCAAGACUUUAACUUCUGUUCCCUCAGAGACCUUGGCUAAACAGGCUUGAUACAGUUAGGUUCUUUUUCCCGGGGGGAGGAACGUUACUUCCCUUCCCCCAAUGUCAAGUCUCUCUAGAUGUGGAGUCAGCCACUUGUUCUUAUUAAAACUGUUUUAUUCUAAGGGAACAAGGCAAGGGAUAGGACAGAUGGAUUUAGGAAUGAAGCAGAAGGGAAGAGGGAGCAGGGGGUCCCUAGAAUAAUUGAAACCCCUCCUCCCAAAAGUCUGGCAGAUGAGACUUUGUUGAUCUGACCUCCUGGGUCAGUUAGUGAACAAGUCCUGGCUCUAACUUGGCAACUGCAACCAGUCUAGGACUUUAAGGGAUCUGGAGGAAAUCUUCCUUCUAGUGAACAGCUUCCAGUUGAAGUCCUAUUCACUUUUGUCUUGGGGUAUUGGGUCAAGCUUUCACAGGAGAUGAGUGCUGGUUCAGAGAUCCACUCAGUUCACCUUCCUGGUAGCUUCUCAGAGAGAAGAAUCUUUUCAACUGUCCACAUCAGCUCACUUCCUCUCCUUUCCUCAGAAUUCUCUCUCCUUCCUGCCCUUCCCUGUUCCUGCAGAAUUCUCCAACUUGCCAGAUCUGCUUCUCUCUUUUCUGCUGGCAGAUUAAGUCCAGUUCAUCUUUUACAAAUAUCUUCCAUACAUAUACAGACUAUAUAAUCUCAUAUAUACACACACAUAAGUACAUGUAUUUAUAUGCAUGUACAUCCCCUAUAUUAUACUUGUUAUCCCUAUUUUAUAAGUAUGUACAUAUAUUACAGAGCUAUGUACAUGUCUAAAUGUGUACUGUAUGUCACUAAUCUCUACAUUGAUCCCUGUAUGUUUCCUGAUAUUUCCUAAGUAGAAUAUCUCGAUCACACCUCUUUAAGUAACAUUUUAUUGUAUCUAAUAUGUAGAACUUUUAUUGCUAUAUUAACCAGUUUAUGAAUAUCCAUUUACAUGGAUGUAUAGUAGCAAAUAAAGAUCUUAAAACAUUUAUUGAAACAUGUAUCCUUUAUGUGCUCGUUGCAUAUAAAUAUACUUACCAACUCUUCAGAUCCUCCUCUUCUCAUGUUGUCUAAUGAUUCUCUUCUAUCUUCAGUUCUUGUGUAGCUAUAUAAUGUUGUAUGUAACUAAUUUGGAAAUAUAGUGUAUUUAAUUACACAUUUCUCUCACAAUCUUGAGUCCAGUCCUCCUGUUCCUCUUCUUUGCAGAUUCCUGUACAGUCUUUGCUAUUCUGUCAACAUCAGGUCAUCUGUUUCUGCUUCCUUCUUCCUGCUGCUAAGAUCUGCUUCUAUGCUGUUCUCCUCCCUGGUCAGCUUGUAUCAUCCUCUUCCACUGGACUUAUCCCCUUAUGAUCUUUUUUGCCUACAGACUCAAAUUGCCUCAUGAAUCUCUCAGCUCUCUUCUAUCACUUCUUCUCCUCCUAUCUCAAUUUCUAUAUCUCCUAUUUUCUCUGUGUGCCAAUUUCACAUGCAACCAAUGAAUCUAUGAUUGUCUAAGAUUUUUGCUGCUCAAUGUGAGAUUAAUAUAGUUGCAAAUGGUCAGAUCCAACUUUCUUGUGCUGCCGAUGUUUUUCCAAAGUUCUUUACAGAGACUAAAUCUUCUGGUUUUAUAUUGUGUAAGGAGUAAUCCUAUGGCCCAGAUUGAACGAACAGUCCCAAUCAUGUAACUCUCUUAUACUGUCUUGCAAAGCUGUAAUAGAAGAUGCUAUCUGCAUGUCUCUUCCUAGCACUGAGACAGAAGCCGGUUUGCAAGUUUUUGCCUGUAGAAGUGAAUGUCCAAACAAUGUUUCAUAUAGGAAAAUAUGUAAAUCUGUCCAAGGCCUUCUACAUAGGUAAAAUAGAGCUAAAGGAAGUAUUUCUGGCCACUUUAAAUGAGCCUAUGUACAAAGUUUUCCCACCAUAGUUUUUAUCUCUCUGUUCAAUCUUUCAACCCGUCCAGAGCUCUGUGGAUGUUAUGGCACAUGAAAUCUUCCUUUUAUUCCUAGAUUUUCAUAUAGCUGCUGUAAUAUUUCCUGUGUAAAAUGAUUCCCCUGGUCUGAGUCUAUGGUAACUGGGGUUCUAUACCUAGGAAUUACCUCCUUUAGCAAUAUUUUCACUACAAACCCUGCUGUAUUUGUUGUCAAUGGAAAUGCUUCUGGACAUUGUGUCAAUCUAUCCACCAAUAUCAAGCAAUAUUUAUAUUUCCUGCUUUAGGCAUAUUUAUGUAAUCUGUCUGAAAACUUUCAAAUGGAGAGUAGGCUUAAAGGUCUUCCUACUCUUUCUUUCUAAAUGCUACCUGAUUGAAUCUUUGACAGAACAACUAUUACAGACUAUUUGCAACUGUUGUUAUUCCUGGAGCUAUCCAUGUUCUUUUAAUGGAAUUCACCAAGGCUUAGGUGCCAAAAUCUCCUUUACUAUGGAUGGAAUUACAUAUAUGUUAAGAACUCUUUUGGCAAGAUUGGCUUUCCAGUGUCUGACAGCCAAAUGUCAUUUACUUUUCUUGCUCCAAACUUAUCCUGCCAUGCCUGAAUCUCAGAGUCUUUAUAAGCUUUUGUUAGAUCAGCUGAC